GGGGUUGUGGCUCAGUGCUAGAGCACCCACCUAGCAUGUGCGAGGCCCUGGGUUCGAUCCUCAGCACCA
rnacentral:tRNA from 1 species